UACAGAGGGUGCAAGCGUUAAUCGGAAUUACUGGGCGUAAAGCGUGCGUAGUCGGUUAUCUAAGUCGGGUGUGGAAUCCCCGGGCUCAACCUGGGAAUUGCAUUCGAUACUGGAUAGCUAGAGUUCGGCAGAGGGAAGCGGAAUUUCGGGUGUAGCGGUGAAAUGCGUAGAUAUCCGAAGGAACAUCAGUGGCGAAAGCGGCUUCCUGGACCAGAACUGACGAUCAGGCACGAAAGCGUGGGGAGCAAACAGG
rnacentral:rRNA from 1 species